rnacentral:rRNA from 1 species
GAUUAUGGCUCAGGAUGAACGCUGGCGGCGUGCUUAACACAUGCAAGUCGAACGAAGCAACUAUCUUGCUUGCAAGAGAGUGACUUAGUGGCGGACGGGUGAGUAACGCGUGGGUAACCUGCCUCAUACAGGGGGAUAACAGUUGGAAACGACUGCUAAGACCGCAUAACCCGCUAGUGUCGCAUGACACGGACGGAAAAUAUUUAUAGGUAUGAGAUGGGCCCGCGUCUGAUUAGCUAGUUGGUAAGGUAACGGCUUACCAAGGCGACGAUCAGUAGCCGACUUGAGAGAGUGAUCGGCCACAUUGGGACUGAGACACGGCCCAAACUCCUACGGGAGGCAGCAGUGGGGAAUAUUGGACAAUGGGGGAAACCCUGAUCCAGCCGACGCCGCGUGAGUGAAGAAGUAUUUCGGUAUGUAAAGCUCUAUCAGCAGGGAAGAUAAUGACAGUACCUGACUAAGAAGCCCCGGCUAACUACGUGCCAGCCGCCGC